UAGGUGGGAGGCUUUGAAGUGUGAUCGCUAGAUUGCAUGGAGCCACCCUUGAAAUACCACCCUGGCAUGUUUGAGGUUCUAACCUAGGCCCGUUAUCCGGGUCGGGGACAGUGUAUGGUGGGUAGUUUGACUGGGGCGGUCUCCUCCCAAAGCGUAACGGAGGAGCACAAAGGUGGGCUAAGCAUGGUCGGACAUCAUGCGGUUAGUGUAAUGGCACAAGCCCGCUUAACUGCGAGACAGACACGUCGAGCAGGUACGAAAGUAGGUCAUAGUGAUCCGGUGGUUCUGUAUGGAAGGGCCAUCGCUCAACGGAUAAAAGGUACUCCGGGG
rnacentral:rRNA from 1 species